GUAUAUAUCUGGGGAUCGGAUCUUUCAUCGCCUGCUCUUGGUCGCUGGCGCCCAAAAUUUUUGUAAGAAAUGGAAAAUGUAGAAAAUUUUCACAGCGCAUUAGUGAAAAAAGCAUUGAAAUGCGCGAUCCAUAUUACAAGUGGUUGUAUACAUAUAAUAUAAAGCUGGAAGUAUGAAGAAAUCGUUGGAUUUUCGUUAAAUCAAAAACAGCACCUCCCACGUGGUGCGCCAUGUGCCAUGUGAAGACACGUUAGAUUGCUACUAGACAUUCUUUGAGCAUGUGGUGGCCGAUGGCCAUAUCGGACCACGAUGGAUCCGCUCAGAACACUUUCCUAUACCCAUAAAAUAGAGCAAGCCGUCCACUGGUCUAAAGCAUGUGAUAGCCGAUAUCCAUAUCGGACGACUUUGAAUCCGUUCGUCUAAGCUUUACAGCUGCACAGCAGCAGAACACUUUCCUAUACACAUAGGUUAGAGCGGGCCGUCCACUGGUCUAAAGGCUGCGUGUUAGCUGGAGAAGUACGAUCUCAAUGGAUACCUUCGUCUGAAGGCAAUAUUAAGCGCUUACGAAAGAAAUUGGUCUGUCCAUCCUUUGAAAGACUGUGUUAGCUAGAGAAGUACGAGCUCAAUGGAUCCCUUCGUCUGAAGGCAAUGUCAAGCGACAGAGCUUUUAGACGACUCCCGUUUCUAGACGGGGAAUAAAUAUAUAAAAUAAAGAUUUUAUUUAA
rnacentral:misc_RNA from 1 species